GAUGAACGCUGGCGGCGUGCCUAAUACAUGCAAGUCGAGCGAACGGACGAGAAGCUUGCUUCUCUGAUGUUAGCGGCGGACGGGUGAGUAACACGUGGAUAACCUACCUAUAAGACUGGGAUAACUUCAGGAAACCGGAGCUAAUACCGGAUAAUAUUUUGAACCGCAUGGUUCAAAAGUAAAAGACGGUCUUGCUGUCACUUAUAGAUGGAUCCGCGCUGCAUUAGCUAGUUGGUAAGGUAACGGCUUACCAAGGCAACGAUGCAUAGCCGACCUGAGAGGGUGAUCGGCCACACUGGAACUGAGACACGGUCCAGACUCCUACGGGAGGCAGCAGUAGGGAAUCUUCCGCAAUGGGCGAAAGCCUGACGGAGCAACGCCGCGUGAGUGAUGAAGGUCUUCGGAUCGUAAAACUCUGUUAUUAGGGAAGAACAUAUGUGUAAGUAACUGUGCACAUCUUGACGGUACCUAAUCAGAAAGCCACGGCUAACUACGUG
rnacentral:rRNA from 1 species